ACUUGGUGGCGCCACCUAUCGGCGAUAAUGUGAACUAACUUCGAUCUCAAUCCUGUUUCUCAACCAUGUAAAAUCCUCUCAAAUCGAUCCUUCGCUCAUUUAUAUUCUCUCUCCUCCCUCUUACUGUCAAUGAACCUGUUUUUACGAUUGGUCCCGUGUUGCGAUUCAAACAACCCUCAAACAGCAAAGUGCCUAUAUAAUAACUACUCACAGCUAACAGCUAGGACAUAAACUAGUAAUCUUUCAACAACGAUGGAUGACCUUGAAAUCAUUUUUAUCGAUUCCCAACCGGAAUCAACCAUAAAUCUGGACUCUCAGCCGAGCUCCGUAGACCUGUCCUUGAUUUUUGGGAUUAAGACUCAAACCUAUCUCGAGAGCAACUUGACCUGGUUAAGUGACAUUAAAUGGGAUGAUGACGACGAUGACCCAA